CACUGACGCAGUGAAUACUCGCCAAGCGCACACGGCUGGCUCUUUCUUCCUCUCUUGGCAUUGCCAUUGCAUUUCUGCCUUGGACAGAAGAAAGAUGACGGCGUUUCUCUAAGGACGGGAGCUCUGCUGCUCUGUGUCACGUGUGAGAGCAUGGGGGUGCAGUUUUAGAUAUACCGCGUCAGGAGCAGGGGUAAGUAAGGGUGGGUCUCCCGCGGCACCAGGAGCUGUCCUUCUGCCUCGGUCCAGCGCACCCUCGGAACCUAACUGGGAAAGACAAACUCUCUCCAUGAUGCGUGGGACCUCAGUGAUGGUGAACAGAGGCGCUCACCCUCCUCGUGACCCCUGGCCCCAGGACUGCUGGGUCACUCAGCAGCCUUCUGAAGUCGAGUCCUCUUCUCCCCACACCCCGUCUCCGUCCCCUCUGGCCCGUGUCCCUGCUCCUCGUUGUGGUGUUUGUCUUUUGAAGUCCCUUUCCAGACCUUUGUCCUCAGAGUGGGCCAGGCUGGAAGGCCUCGGGGGAGGCCAGAACUGGGGCCCACUGCCUCUUGUCAUUUCUGCUAGAGGAUCAAAGGUCAGAGACCAGGGUCUUCAGCGGAGGAGCAAAGGUUAGAGAGAGAGUCGCUUUAGACGCCCUUAGCCCUUCUACAAAUCGCAUUACCCCCCCAUCAGACAGCUGGGGUGGCUGCUGGGGAGGGAGCCUGUGGUUCUCCCUUUACACCUAAGGCUCCCAUCCGUAUAUAGCAGUACUCUUCUUUCCAGAUGUCCACCAUAUUGUCCUCAGUUAAGGAAAAGAAAACGAGAGCAUGUGUGGCUUAAUAUUUAACAAGACUCAGAGCUUGGCAGAAGCCCUGGGGCCCCGCAAUCUGUGUGACCUGAACCUGGGACUUCUGGGCUCCCCUGGGGUUUGUGACACAGGUCGAAGGAGAUCCUUCCAAAAGUCCAAAGGACAGUGACAAUGUCCACGUGUCUGGUGCCCUCCCCUGCAGGCAGGGCAGCUGGCUGAUCUGCAGCAGAAGCAGGUGGUGGGGCUGAGCGGGCUGGACUCCAGUUCUAGUGAGUCAUUCCCCAGUCGGUUUUCAGCUCCGUCGACACACCAGGGGGCACUGGGGACAGCCACUUGGCUCUGGGAAACUGUGGAGGGUGUGGUUACUGCGGCAGCCGCUGUCGGUGUGACUGGAUAGGGCACAGUCUCUCUGUCCUUGUAGUGACAAGGAGACGGCCACGGCCCCCACUGUCCCCUCUCCCGACUGUUCCCUGUUUGUUGAUGCCCCACUGUGGCUCAGGAGGGGCUGGUGGAGACGGGAGAGGGAGAGGAAGGGAGAGGGGGUUGCAUCAGUCUUAUCCCCAGGCCACACCCACAGCAGCACAGCCCCUGCCCGGACACGGGUAGGCACCAUGGGGAAAAGGCCAGGUGACCAGGGCAGGACGGCAGCCCUCAGAACCCUCCCAUAAUUCCUUGUGGCUAUUCAGGGUGAUGCAUCCUGAAUGGGGGUCUGCUGUGCCUUCUGGAGGGACCUCCGACUAGCCUACAAUCAUCAGGAUUUAGUGGUCAUCUGUGGCCUCCUGCAUGCAAAGUCCUCUCUGGACCAGAACUCAUGUCAGAUCCCAGUAAACUCCCACUCACCUGAAACAAGCCUUAAGAAUGUUUUUACAUUUGAUUCAUCCGAGAGAACUUUUCAUAAACUAUGCAAAUAAAUGUGCACUUAUUUAAAAAUCAUAUUGCAGUUGUCACAUCCCAAGAUCAUCAGCUCAAAUGAACGUCACCAGAUCCCACUUCCUGUACUUAGUAGCUGUGGGACCUUGGGCACGUCACUGAAUGGACCUAAAUCUCAGUUUCCUCGAUUGUAAAAUGCAGAUGGUAACCCGCCCCACAGGGCCCAGAUGGUAACCCGCCUCACAGGGUCCAGAUGGUAACCCUCCCCUCAGGGUCCAGGUGGUAACCCGCCCCACAGGGCCCAGAUGGUAACCCGCCCCUCAGGGUCCAGGUGGUAACCCGCCCCUCAGGGUCCAGGUGGUAACCCGCCCCUCAGGGUCCAGAUGGUAACCCGCCCCACAGGGUCCAGGUGGUAACCCACCCCUCAGGGUCCAGGUGGUAACCCACCCCUCAGGGCCCAGGUGGUAACCCGCCCCACAGGGCCCAGAUGGUAACCCGCCCCUCAGGGUCCAGGUGGUAACCCGCCCCUCAGGGUCCAGGUGGUAACCCGCCCCUCAGGGUCCAGAUGGUAACCCGCCCCUCAGGGCCCAGAUGGUAACCCGCCCCACAGGGCCCAGGUGGUAACCCGCCCCUCAGGGCCCAGGUGGUAACCCGCCCCACAGGGUCCAGGUGGUAACCCGCCCCUCAGGGUCCAGGUGGUAACCCGCCCCUCAGGGUCCAGGUGGUAACCCGCCCCUCAGGGUCCAGA
rnacentral:lncRNA from 1 species